rnacentral:rRNA from 1 species
UACGUAGGUGGCAAGCGUUAUCCGGAUUUACUGGGUGUAAAGGGCGUGUAGGCGGGAGUGCAAGUCAGAUGUGAAAACCACGGGCUCAACCUGUGGCCUGCAUUUGAAACUGUACUUCUUGAGUACUGGAGAGGCAGACGGAAUUCCUAGUGUAGCGGUGAAAUGCGUAGAUAUUAGGAGGAACACCAGUGGCGAAGGCGGUCUGCUGGACAGCAACUGACGCUGAGGCGCAAAAGCGUGGGGAGCAAACAGG